UUCACCAGUGUUUACGUUUUUUAACCUACUCGGAUAAUCAACAGAAAAAAAUUAAACAACUUUCACAAGAUCACUGGAUAAUUCCAUGAAAAAUUAUUCGCAAUCACGUCAAAAUGGAUACCACCCACAUGGAUGAGAAGGUUUUGCUUGUAACAACUGUCAAGAACCUCGCAACACCAAACGGGAGAUAAAUCAUGUAUGGGACUCAUCAUGGGACUCAUUAUGGGACUCAUAAUCAGGGACGAUCGACUCGUCCUGACUGUCAUCAUUCUGUUGGUAUUUGGCAUAUGUAUUCAAAGAAUCUAAUCAUUUUGUGAAUUUCUGUUUUCUAGAUAUUCGAGGACUUCGUUAAAAACGUGAAAUAAUUCCACAAUAUUCCAGUGAUGCGAUCUCACUUUCUGCUUAUAAUAUUAAUAAAUAUUAAUUUGUUAUAAUGUUGUUGUAUGUAGUUGACCAGGAGGAGUUUCAAUAAAUGGACACCUUCGAUGGGU